CUCCCCGCCCGCUCCACUCUCCCUCUCUCGAUUGGAGCCGAGACAAAAGCAACGGGAAGCGGAGGGCCGGGACGCUGCCCGCAGACCCCAGGCGCGACCGGACCGGCCCCGAGGCAUUCCCCUGCCUUGCGGGGGCCCCGAAUCCGCCGCCCCCGCCGCGCGCCCCGCCGCCAGACUUCCGAAAAUUUGCCAAAAACUCACCGCAUGAAUUUUCUUGUCCCGCGGAUCCAAGAUGGCGACGUAUCCACCGCAGAGGCUGCUGGGAGCAAGACCUUUACCCUCUGACCCCCGCCGUGACCCCCGUCGUUCCGGCUUCCCUCAAGGCGGCGGCGGAAGCCCCCGCAACCUCCGGUGCUCGUGCACGCACUUCCAGGGACCGGCAGCACGUCACCUUCACCUGAGAAGCUCGAGUGACCGGCCGGGCUGUCUACAAGACCGUUGGAAAUUACGGUGCUUGUGGUGGCAACUUCAGGAGAAUGAGAAGUCUCUGCUUUCCAGAGAAGUAAUUGUUUCUCAAAGUGAAAUUAAAUUUCUUUCUUUGAAACAAUAAAGCUCUCUUUAUUCUUUUGUAUAUUAAUAAACUCUUCCCUUUUUGUUACUACGCGGCAUUUUUGGACUUAAAAAGAGCUUCUGCAUGUCUGUUUUGGGAUUGUGUAGUUUCAUAAAGUAAAAACUGUUUCUUUCUAUUUUCGGUGAUAGAAUUUGUUAAUGUAAAGUACAAUUCAUUUGGAGUAAAUAAAAUUUCUACUUCCUUUGUUCCUUCUGUAAAAUCACCUUUUCCUCCCCCAAAACUCACUGUAAUCCAAUUUAAAAUUUUAUCAUUGAAGGUCAAAGGGCAUCUGUCAGUCAUAAAUAGGAAGAAAAUAAGCAUACUAUAAAAUAAAAGGUGACUCAUGUUUACAGAAUACAAGGUACUUUGAAUUUGUAGUUUCUGUGUAAAUUUAUUUAAACUCCAAAUGGUGCUGAUGUAGCCAGUAGAAAAUGUUUGCCUGGUUAUUCAUUUCAUUAAACAUUCUGCUUCACUGUGUUUUUUACUUCAGGAAAAUUCAAGGACUAACACUUCUUUAUAUUCUUCCCUCCCUUUUUCCUCCCUUUCCCCCAGUAGUUCCUUUCUGCUUCCUAAGCUUUCUCUUCUAUGUAAGAUCAUGUGUUAAAAGACUGACUACACCUCUAUGUCAUACAUAUAUCUGUGUAUUGCUGAGCCUUUUAAUCUGUUAAUAAUUUGAAAGUAUAACUAUUAAUAUUUGGAAUCAUAAGAUGGAAUAAUAAAAAUGGG
rnacentral:lncRNA from 1 species